GCCUGGGUGGCUCAGUAGGUUAAGCAUCUGACUUCAGCUCAUGAUCUCACGGCUCGUGAGUUCGAGUCCCGCGUCAGGCU
rnacentral:tRNA from 1 species